rnacentral:lncRNA from 1 species
CUCGGAAUCAAUGUGUGAGGUGGUGCUUUUUACCAGGAACCCCUCUCGCUUUGCAAAUAGUUUUUUGUUUGUUUGUUUUCCUUUUUGCCCAAUAGAACCCUGCUCUACUCACCCUUCAAUGUGCCCGUGUGUCUAAAUAUUCCUUGUCGUGUGAAAGAAACCCAGGUAUAAGCUGAACUAAGGAGCACAAUUCUGCAACAUUUUGGCACCCAAACGCCGGGCUUGAGAAAUGAAUGAAAUUGGAGAAACUGGUUGUUUUACCAGGCUUUGAUGGAAAUGUGUGCUUCCCUUCAAGGAGUCAAUCUCAACUUGUAAGGCUGAUGGGAACCCCUUUGGAAAACUGGCCUCAAACGUUUGUCUACACAGUCCACAUACAGGGUUCUUAACCUGCGGAAACACUUUCUGAAAAUGUCAGAACUCUUGAAAACAUGGAUGAGGAAAAGCAUAAGGACUGCUUUAUGCUUGUCUUAUGAAUUUUAAAAUAUGUAAUUUAAAGAUACUUUAAAGUGAUAUUUGUGCCCUUGUUAACUGAUUCAAAGUAGACUGCUAAGGACAGUAAGUAAUAAGAGUCUACAAAUAUCAAUAAAUUAUGAGAAAAAACGGUCUAAUGGUACUUAAAAUUGCAUUGUGAUUUAUUAAAUAACAUAUUGAACAGCUCCACCUGUAACAUUAAGAUUCCAUUUGAGCAUAUAGAAAAUAUAUUUAUCGCAACCUGAAGUGAUUUGGAAAGUAUGCUGGGAAGAAAAUAUAUUUACAUAUUAGUCUCAGAGGGUAGGUAUCCUGUAGCCAGAUGGAAUAAGAAGAGAGGGAAGGGAGAUUUUGGUCAAAGGGGGAGCAUAAGCUGAGGAAUAAAGCCACAAACAAGGAUUAAAUUAGGUAAAGUGCAAUUGGCUGAAUAUUGCAUAAGCAUACAUAUGGGAAGAAGUGGAAAAAGGAGUGACAAUAUGAAGCUAAAGGGUUUGAAGUGUUCAAGAUAAUACUAGGCUUCCUAGCCUAUUCUGAGAAAUCUUAUUUUAGAGUGCAAUAGAUAAGAACUUUAAGGAUGAAGGUAGGAGACAUGCAUUCUAGUCUAUGUUUUGGUUAAUGGACUGAAAGUGAAAGGACUGAAAUUGGGGGAUGGAAUAAAAAUGUGAUAGAAUUGAAAAUAGAAAAAUCAAUUAGCCUAAUGUCAUUGAUGCUUAGAGAAAAUAUGGAAAAUAGUAAAUUAGUGAUAUACAUCUUUUCUAAUUCACCAGGGUGAGUGAACAAAGGAAAUCAGAUUUAAAAGUAUUUAUGACAUAUAUGCAAUAAGGUUUCUCAGUCAGACAUAGUAAAUUGAGAGAAGGGAAGAUUUACAGGAUUGUAAAAUGUCUUGCUUGUAGACUAAUAGGAUAUCAGUAAGCAAUAUGAGCAAUAAUUUGAAAUCGUUUUUGUAAAGUAUCAUGAAGGUAAACCCUGUUUAGAACAAAUUAGAUUUGAAGUACUUGUGACAAAUGCAGUUAACAAUGCCUUUAUGAAGCUGGAGAAUUGUUGCUUAGCAGAAAAGCUUGUGCUGGACAAAUAGAUGUCCAAAUUGAAUAGAUGUUUUCUUAAGCUGAACUAAUUGAGACAAAUAUCCUUAUUAAAUCAAAAAA